rnacentral:rRNA from 1 species
UAAAGGGCUGCAGUAAUUUGACUGUGCAAAGGUAGCAUAAUCAGUAGUCUUUUAAUUGAAGGCUUGAAUGAAUGGCUGGAUGAGGGAGAAACUGUCUUUUUGGUAAAUUAAAAUUUGACUUUUAAGUGAAAAGGCUUAAAUUUAUUAAGGGGACGAUAAGACCCUAUAAAACUUAAUAUUUAUUUAUAUUUUGUUUUUAAAUUUUAAAUAAACUUUACAAAGUUUAGUAUAUAUUUUGUUGGGGAGACAUUGACAUAAUUAAUAACUGUCUAAUUUAAAUGUUUAUAGCUAUUGUUAUUAUAUGAUCCUUCUUUGAGGAUAAAAAGAGCAAGUUACUUUAGGGAUAACAGCGUAAUUUUUUCUGAGAGUUCUUAUCGAAGAAAAUAGUUGCGACCUCGAUGUUGAAUUAAAAUUUCUGUUAGGUGUAGCUGUUUAACAAGUAGGUCUGUUCG